rnacentral:rRNA from 1 species
ACCUGCGGAAGGAUCAUUGUCGUGACCCUGACCAAAACAGACCGCGAACAUGUCACCCAUGCCGCCGGGUGGCGGGGCUGGCACCCGUCUCCCGGUCCGGGCCGCCGACCUUCUUCCGGAGGGGAGGGGCCCCAAAAGAACCCACGGCGCCGUACGGUGUCAAGGAACACGAAUAUUGCCUUUGCCCGGGGCCGCAACCGGCGAGCCGGAUGCGCCCCGUGCGGCGAUGCUAUGUGAAAUCCACAUGACUCUCGGCAACGGAUAUCUCGGCUCUCGCAUCGAUGAAGAACGUAGCAAAAUGCGAUACCUGGUGUGAAUUGCAGAAUCCCGUGAACCAUCGAGUUUUUGAACGCAAGUUGCGCCCGAGGCCUUUCGGCCGAGGGCACGUCUGCCUGGGCGUCACGCCAGAAGGCACUCCCCACCCCAUCCCGGUGCGGACGUCGUGUUUGGCCCCUCGUGCCGCCGGGCGCGGUGGGCCGAAGUUGGGGCUGCCGGCGGUGCCGAUCACAGCACAAAGGUGGAUGACGCAUGUUGUUCUCGGUGCUACGAUCCGCGUACCGUUCCCUGUGCCCUCGGGACCCCAUCGACCGAAGCGCACGUCGCUCGGACCGCGACCCCAGGUCAGUCGGGAUUACCCGCCGAAUUUAAGCAUAUCAAUAAGCGG